rnacentral:rRNA from 1 species
UACAGGGGGUGCAAACGUUGCUCGGAAUCAUUGGGCGUAAAGCGCACGUAGGCGGUCUGUUAUGUCGGAUGUGAAAGCCCUUGGCUCAACUGAGGAAGUGCAUCCGAAACUGGCAGGCUAGAGUACUAAAGAGGGUCGCGGAAUUCCCGGUGUAGAGGUGAAAUUCGUAGAUAUCGGGAGGAACACCGGUGGCGAAGGCGGCGACCUGGGUAGAUACUGACGCUGAGGUGCGAAAGCGUGGGGAGCGAUCCGG